rnacentral:rRNA from 1 species
UGAUUAGUUAUUUGUUGGGNUAAAGCCCCACCCAAGCGACGAUCAGUAGCUUGUUCUGAGAGGACGAUCAGCCACACUGGGACUGAGACACGGCCCAGANUCNUACGGGAGGCAGCAGUGGGGAAUUUUGGACAAUGGGGGCAACCCUGAUCCAGCAAUGCCGCGUGUGUGAAGAAGGCCUUCGGGUUGUAAAGCACUUUUGUCCGGAAAGAAAUCGCGCUGGUUAAUACCUGGCGUGGAUGACGGUACCGGAAG